CCAGUAUAUUGGCGAAUUCGGUUCUUUGUACUUAAUUUAUUAGCAUGAUUUCUUUUUUAGUAUGUUGUCUACAGACUUACUUCUCUGUCUACUUUUCUUACUCCAUGUAGGUUUCCCAGAGACUGUGGGUUGAGGAGGAAUUGGAAGUUUGUCGGCUUAGACCUGGUGUCAUUCCAUCAGUGUUAAACUUCCCGGCUCAUCUUGGAAGAGCACGUGCCAGAAAGACCACGACCAAGCAGCCUUGAGAUCUUAGGCAGCGUCUCCCUCAGGUCCCUCUCUAUCUCCCCACACAUCCACCAACCACUGGAACACAUCUCCAAAGUUCUGCUGGGCCAGCUCAGCUUCCCCUCAGAAGAAGUGCUGCCACCUGCCAGAUGAAGGAGCCUUUUGAGAGGCAGCUGGCAUCGUGAUUGGACUGUUCUUUGGUCUGUUCCAAUCCAGCUUCAGCUCCAGAGACGGCAGGCGGGACGAGUCAACGGAGGCCGGGUGGACGAAGGCAUGCAGCUGAGUACAAUCCAGAAAACAACAGAAGAGGAGUGCAGGGCCAGAACAAGCAGAGUAGCAUCGUAUGUCUCUUAGAAAACAUCAUAGUAUAGCCUUUGGUAUGAAAAAACGCCAUCAUAUACAUCGUAUAUUGUACAAAUAAGUCAAAGGAAAGAGACAUACAUUGUAAAAUUGUAGUAAUUGUGGGCUGACUGAUUUACUGAUUAUCAGUAUUUUAUUUUUUACUGAUUUACAGUAAUAAAUCAAUUUAAAAAUGGUGCUACUUUGGCUCUGAACCUUUAUCUACCUGUGGUCGCUCUGUCUUCUGGAGUGAUUUGAUUGGUUAUACGUCACGAAUAAAACUCCUUUAACUUAACAUCUGUAAACAAAACAAAAACGUAUCGUAGUUUUCUGUUAGAGUUUGUGUUCUUCUAAGUGUAACUCAAGAUUUUAAAUACUUUCAUUUACUGCAAAUGAAUAUCUACUCCAAAUGUCUCACUAAUAAUCAUUAUCAGCCUUAAAAACCCAUAAAACACCCCUCUAUACUCGACCAAACUUAGUACAGUCUGGUUCCUCCUUCUAUAAAUCUGCUUGGAAUCUUCCACUUCCUGUUUGUCAAAGUGGCCUUCUACCUGGACAGGUUUUGUUGUUGGAGCUCAUGCAACAAACAUUUUGGGUAACUGCACUUUAAUAUGGAUGGAUGACACUGAAUUAGAGU
ensembl:lncRNA